ACUCCUACGGGAGGCAGCAGUGGGGAAUCUUGGACAAUGGGGGCAACCCUGAUCCAGCCAUGCCGCGUGAGUGAUGAAGGCCUUAGGGUCGUAAAGCUCUUUCGCCUGUGAAGAUAAUGACGGUAGCAGGUAAAGAAACCCCGGCUAACUCCGUGCCAGCAGCCGCGGUAAUACGGAGGGGGUUAGCGUUGUUCGGAAUUACUGGGGCGUAAAGCGCACGUAGGCGGACCAGAAAGUUGGGGGUGAAAUCCCGGGGCUCAACCCCGGAACUGCCUCCAAAACUAUUGGUCUAGAGUUCGAGAGAGGUGAGUGGAAUUCCAAGUGUAGAGGUGAAAUUCGUAGAUAUUUGGAGGAACACCAGUGGCGAAGGCGGCUCACUGGCUCGAUACUGACGCU
rnacentral:rRNA from 1 species